GAAUCAUUUCAGUCUGAAGUCAUAAGCAUCCCUGAAGACAAGGGGAAGUGACUCCUUCCCUGAAGCUCUAAAACCUGAAAAAUGGGGGUUGGAUUUCCUUGCAUUUAUCCUGUUUGUGGUUUACUCAGCUUCCUGAGUAUAUAGGUGUAUGCCUUUCACCACAUUUGGGAAGUUUUCAGCCAUUAUUUCUUGAGAUAUUUUCUUCUGCUCCAUUCUGUUUCUCCUGUUCUUCUCAGAUCCUGAUAACACAAACAUUAGAUAUUUUGGAAUUGUCUCCACAGGUGCCUGAAGUUCUGUUCAGUUUUCCCCAGUCCUUUUUCUCUGUUGUUCAGAUUGGAUAAUUUCUAUUUUCCUAUCUUCGAGAUCACUGGCAUGUUUCCCUGCAAUCUCCAUUCUGCUAUUGUACCCAUCUGUUGGGAGCUGAAAAGGCCAAAGGGAUCUUGACCAACUCAGCAUUCCACUGGAGGCUAUAUGAUCAAAUAGCCAACUGUUUAUCAUGAAUGCAGGAUGUGGGCAAACUCACAACUGCGCCUGCCACCAGGAGGUUUGCUGAGGGCAAUCACCCCCUGGCACUGUGCUCACUGAGGUUAUCUACUGGGACAUCUAGAGCCUAUUGUUUGAAGACUGCAGUCUUGCAAGCCUGCUGUAAAUCAAACUGCUAACCGACAAUCACCCCCCACUUCUCGCUGUCUCUUUUGCCUAAUAAAUGCAAAGGGCUCUAAAGCUCAGGCCCCUUGUUUACUAGAAGCAAGGAGCCCCCUGACCCCUUCUUUCAAAUAUACUCUCUUGUCUUUGUCUUUUAUUCCCACGUUUGCCCCCUUUGUUCAGUCCCUCAAGGUCCAUGCAGGUGACAAAUUGCGACCCAGAACAGGGACUCCAAGGAUGUCAGAUAAGUGGCAUCCGAACACAGAUACUUUGAGGAUGUGAACAAAGAAGAUCUGCUGGAGCAGAGGAACUGAAAUUGACAAGACGCAUGGGGACCCCAGGAUGAGUCUGCCGACAGCGGAUAUAAGAUUAUUUCUACACAGAGCAGAGGCACUGUGACCCGAGAGAACACUGUGACCUGAGAGAACACUGUGACAUGGUCUAGGACACAGGGAGGCAGAUACGGGUAACUGAGGCUCCAAGAGAAGAAAUAACAUCUGCAGCAUCACUGCUGAUGACCCUGGGAGCUAAGAGAACCAAUGCUUCUUGCAUGCCCGUUCUGUGCCAGACACUGACAUGCUGAUCUUGCUCAGGCUCACCACAGCCCUGUGCAGUGGGAAUUAGAGGAAGAGCCUGAAGCCCUGAGAAGCGAAGCCACUCACGGAGAUCACAUAGCUGAGAAGAGCUGAGCCAGGAUUUACCCCAGAGUGUUCUGACUCCAAGGCUGGUGGACUCAGGCAAAAUGGCUACACAUUGGUGCCACCUCCCACUUCCUGGACAUACCAGCAUGAUGACACCAGGCACUGGAAGCUCCCACCUAGGCCUGCAGGGUCUCUUCUAUCACUAGAGAGUUGUGGACUUUUGGUAAAG